UUUAAUACAAUGCUUUGUACAUAGCAUAUAUCAAACAAUUUAUAGUAUUACAUGAAUUUUUAAUGGAUAUUAAAAAAUACUCUUUGUUGAUAUUGUCGCAUGUCUGAAUUUCCUUUACUGUUUUCUUAUUCCCAUUUUCUCCCCUAACUAUUCACUUUCUAGCUGAAUAAUGUUUUUACCUACACUGCUGAUGGAAAGUUUUUUACUCACUCCUUCUUUAUUCUGGCCGAUUCAUGUAAUUAUACAGGACUUAGUAGGAGAGAAGUCAGAAGUUUACUGAAAAGAAAAUGAAGCCCAUUAGGAGACUAAUAGGUGGAGUUUAUUUCUCCAUUCAUCUUGAAUUUGGGCUGGUUUUAGUGACUUGUUUGAUCAAUAGAAUGUGCCAGAAAUGACAUUUUGGAGCUUUUCAAGUCUAAGUCAUGAGAAGUUUUGCACCUUCCAGCUAGCCUCUUUGAACAUUCUUUUUUGGAAUGUUCUCCCAUAGAACACUCAAGCUGGGACCUAGGUGGCAUGCAAAGAGAGGCCCAAGCCAGAUGGAGGGGCCUAGCUGAGCUCCCAGCUAACAGACAACAGCGAUCAUCAGCUGCCAGCCACAUGAAUGAGUGAAGGAAUCAUCCUGGACAUUCCAAUCCCAGCAGACAUCAAACUCAUGCAGCAGGCAUAUGGACCCAGUCUAGCCAUCUUCAGACUUAAGAGCCACCCAAUCUGAGGCCCCAGAUGUCAUGGAGCAGACAUGAACCAUCCCUACUGUAUCCUGUCUGAAUUCCUGAACCUCAGAAUUAUGUGCAUAAUAAAAUGUUUGCAGUUUUAUGCCAAUAA